UACGUAGGUGGCAAGCGUUGUCCGGAUUUACUGGGUGUAAAGGGCGUGUAGCCGGGAAGGCAAGUCAGACGUGAAAUCCACGGGCUUAACUCGUGAACUGCAUUUGAAACUGUUUUUCUUGAGUAUCGGAGAGGCAAUCGGAAUUCCUAGUGUAGCGGUGAAAUGCGUAGAUAUUAGGAGGAACACCAGUGGCGAAGGCGGAUUGCUGGACGACAACUGACGCUGAUGCACGAAAGCGUGGGGAGCAAACAGGAUUAGAUACCCCCGUAGUCCCU
rnacentral:rRNA from 1 species